CUUCACCGAGCCCAGCAGCAGCGGCCGGUCCUCGGGGCGCUCCUUGCCGUAGGUGGCCAGCAGCGCCUGGGCCUC
rnacentral:antisense_RNA from 1 species